GGGGAGCCCCAGGAUCGGUGUUUUUUGGCUGAUGUGCUGCAAAGUUCAUGCUUUAAUGUUUGGUUUUCUUUUUUAUAGCUGAGGAAGAGACACGAGGCUGGUGACAGCAGGACUUUCCCAGAGGGCGAGGCGGCAUUCCUUGGCACCGGAUGUGGAUGGCGAUCCCUGGACCUCCCAGAGCUAAGUGGAGGGCUCAAGCUGCAGAGGGCAUGAGAGCAGGGUGCUGGGUUGGGAGUUGCUGGGGGGGGAUUAUUGAGUCUGGUUUGGCUAGGGAGAUGUGCAUCAUGUGAGCGCUUAGGGCACCUGAAGGGCAAGUGUCAUUUUUGCUGGCCAUGCUGAGCUGUGGAGGGCAGAGCAGUCCCGGGCACGUGGUGUCUGUUGUGUGUUGCGCACUCUGUGUGUGUCGGGCAUCUCAUCUUUCACGUCUUUUCCCAUGGUCCCCCAGGGGUCCUAUGGGGAACCCCGGCAUCACGGUUAGCAUUUCUGAUGUCUGCCUUCGUGGCCCCAGCAGCUUUGACGGGAGAGCUGGGACUUGGAUCUGAAUCUUGUGUCCCUUUAGACUCAUCCAGUGCGAUGUCUUUUGAGGUCUUGUUGUGAGCUGUACAGAGAGCCGUGCCCCGCCACGAUCCAUUUUGGCGGGUUAGGACUUGUUAGAAGUCCAAGCUAGGUCUGGGCUUGUGACCGGAGGAGUGUCAGGCAUCCAUCUUUGUGAUUCUUGAAGUGAUUCAUCUUGUUAGCAUCAUCUUCCUGCAGGGUUCUGUGAGCCUGGCCAGCUCACCUUAUUUCUUCCGUUUGUCAUCUCAUUCUGAGUUCUCUCGGUCCUCCCGGUCGUUCUUCUUGCAGAGAGCUUUUUGUUGUUGUGGUGUCCCCUGGUUUGUGGUGUCCUGUGUGAUGGAUGUUGUGGCGUCUUUGUCCCGGAGCUGCUCUGCCCUGCCACAUAGGUGGGUGUAGGGGUAAUAGAAGGAGCCCCUGGGGCCUGAAGUGGGUGAUGUCAGGUGGAGUUGUGGUGUGGAGGGCAUUCUCGGUUGGCAGCAUGUGUCUGUCGCUGUCAAAUUCCCUUGUUGCAGUGUGACUAUUUUCCUGUGUGUGUUUCAGAUGCGGAAGCAUUCACUUGAUGGCAGAGAGCCCCAUCCCAGGAACUGAAGCGGGAUGUCAUCUGUCAAGGUGAAGUGGAGCAGGAGAUGUCACUUUCCACGGAGCUGCCCUCAGCAAGCAGAGGAUGGAUGCAGUUUGCCUGUCUCCUGAGACCUGUGGGGAGCAGAAGAGGAGUGUGUGAUGAAGCCUUGAUAUUUUCCAUUUGAAGGUGCCAUCCAGCCAGGUCCACCCCGUGACGACGGCAGGGGGCUCGGAGCGCGGCCGAGGCGUGCGGGGCGAGGACGUGGGUAUUCUUAGGAGACGCUGAGGAAGAGACACCAGCCCGGUGGUGGCAGGACAUUCCCAGAGGGCGCGGCGGCGUUCCUUGGCACUGAUGUGGACGGUGAUCACCGGACCUCCCAGAGCUAAGUGGAGGGCUCGAGGCACAGAGGGGAUGAGAGCAGGGUGCUGGGUUGGGAGUUGCUGGGGGGGGAUUGAGUUCAGUAUGGAUCUGGAGAUGUGCAGGAUGUGAGUGCUUAGGGCACAUGAAAGGCAAGUGUCAUUUCUGAUUGUAAUGCUGAGACAGGCAGGGCAGAGCAGUCCCGGGCACAUGGUGUCUGUUGUCCACUCUGUGUGUGUCGGGCAUCUCAUCUUUCACGUCUUUUCCCAUAGCCCCUCAAGGGGCUGUGGGGAACCCUGGGAUCACUGUUAGCAUUUCUGAUGUCUGCCUUCCUGGCUCCAGUGGCUUUGACUGGAGAGCUGGGACUUAGAUCUGAACCUCAUCUCUGUUCAGAGUCAUCCAGUGUGAUGUCUUUUGAGGUCUUGUUGUGAGCUGUACGGACAGCCGUGCCCCGCCACGAUCUAUUUUGGCGGGUUAGGACUUGUUAGAAGUCCAAGCUAGGUCUGGGCUUGUGACUGGAGGAGUGUCAGGCAUCCAUCUUUGUGAUUCUCGGAAGGCAUCAUCUUGUUAGCGUCCUCUUCUUGUAGGGUUCUGUGAGCCUGGCCAGCUCACCUUUUUUAUUCUGUUUGUCAUCUCAUUCUGAGUUCUCUUGGUCCUCCCGGUCGUUCUUCUUUCAGAGAGCUUUUUGUUGUUGUGGUGUCCCCUGGUUUGUGGUGUCUGAUGUGACGGGUGUUGGUGUGGCUUUGUCCCGGAGCUGCUCUGCCCUGCCGCAUGGGUGGGUGUAGGGGUAAUAGAAGAAGCCCCUGGGGCCUGAAGUGGGUGAUGUCAGGUGGAGUUGUGGUGUGGAGGGCAUUCUCGGUUGGCAGCAUGUGUCUGUCGCUGUCAAAUUCCCGUGUUGCAGUGUGACUAUUUUCCUGACUUUGUUUCAGAUGCAGAUGGAUUCAAUCCAUGGUAGAGCGCCUCAUCCUGGGUGAGGGGGUUCCUCUGUGAAGGUGUAAGUCACUGUCUUUGCUGGGGUAGUGCAAAUAGUGACUGUGUAAGAGCUUUUUUUUUUCUCUUUACUUUCAGGAAGUGAUGGUCGAUGUCAGCUCUCAAGGUGAAGUGGAGCAGGUGAACCGUGAUUGUUGGAGAGAAGCAGUUGCUAUUGCUGGUCUUACUUGAUCAUGCAUGUCUAAGCUUCCCCUUUUGUGUUUUAUGGGGUCUGCUUGCAUGACGCCAUUCUGUCACGAACUAGGUGCUGGUUUCUGUUUGGAAUUUAGUGUGGAGAAUCUUUCUGUGGAGAAUUUUUCUGAUGCAUGGCUGCACAGCAAGGGCCAUGAUACUGUUAAGUCGGUUGGAAUGUAACUAUGUCUAUGUGGUCUAGGUGAUGAUUAACAAGGAUAUAAUAUCCUUGAGCACUAGAAUGAUACAACAACAAAGGUGUUGUUAGUACAAAAAUGCUGAAAAAUGCUAGGCUAAGGAACUGAAAAUGCUAGAUAAAGAAAAUUGUAACCGCAAGGCUGAUUACAGAAAGAACAUGCGUCAAAAUAUCAUAAGCCAAUCAUGAGCUAUAGUUUUGUAAUAUGUAUGAACUAAUUAUUGACACUAUAUAUUUGCUAUUAAUCUAAAUAAAGCUGAGACUUGUCGAUCAUCA